rnacentral:rRNA from 1 species
GACGAACGCUGGCGGCGUGCUUAACACAUGCAAGUCGAACGAUGAAGCUAGAGCUUGCUCUGGUGGAUUAGUGGCGAACGGGUGAGUAACACGUGAGUAACCUGCCCCGAACUCUGGGAUAACUGCUGGAAACGGUAGCUAAUACCGGAUAUGACCAAUGAAGGCAUCUUCUGUUGGUGGAAAGAAUUUCGGUUCGGGAUGGACUCGCGGCCUAUCAGCUUGUUGGUGAGGUAACGGCUCACCAAGGCGACGACGGGUAGCCGGCCUGAAAGGAUGAUCGGCCACACUGGGACUGAGAAACGGCCCAGACUCCUACGGGAGGCAGCAGUGGGGAAUAUUGCACAAUGGGCGCAAGCCUGAUGCAGCAACGCCGCGUGAGGGACGACGGCCUUCGGGUUGUAAACCUCUUUUAGUAGGGAAGAAGCGAGAGUGACGGUACCUGCAGAAAAAGCACCGGCUAACUACGUGCCAGCCGCCGCGGUAA